UACUCUCAUUAACUAGCACCACAUCAUCAGCAAAGAGCAUACACCAAGGGAUCUCACCUUGUAUAUCCCUUGUGACCUCAUCCAUCACUAAACUUUGUACUAAAGUAUACCAUAUUAUAUAUUCACUGUAUAGAUCUACUUAUGUGGGGUUCAACAAAAUUGAAUUUUCCAUUUUAUGAUUUUUUUAUAAUUUACUAUGAUUUUUUUAAAGGAUGAAACCAGGGUCAAAACCUGUCAAGGAGGACAUUUGAACCAGUUUGGAUAGUUCAAGGAGUAAAUAUACCCAGUAUUGUAGUUAGAGGAGGAAAAUCAGACUUUCGUGAAAGUUGGGGGAGGACGGAGGGAGUAGUAGUUUCCACUUUUUGCUGGAAUUACUUCCACAAUCUUGUAAUAUAAUCCAGCACCACCACCACGUCCGCCCCGACGACGACGCCCGCGGCCUCCCCCACUCCCGGGCUGGCCGGUGAGAGGAGCACCAAGGAGGGGGUCGGUCCGGGAUCCAGACCCAGAGGGUGGAGCCUGGUGGGUCUUGGCGGCGAGGAGGGCCGCGGCGAGAGCAGCUUCGGCCGUAGCAGCGCCGACGGCGAUCGGCUGCUCGCUGAAGGCAUUUAAAUCUUGACAAAUGAAUUUAGGAGUUUAGAUUUAAUAUCAUGUUGACAUUUAAAUCUUCUCAUUAAAAAUGAAAUAUGGAUGGGGUUCUUCUUGGUCA